UCAGCAUGGAGCGACUCCCCGGCCCUGCCGUGCCCCAGGUGGCGCUGCUGGAUGCCGCUGCCCGCCCCGAGGAAGAAGGGUUCCUGGAGGCCCUGUGCCCCAGGGAGGAGGGGGAGGAGGAGGAGGAGGAGGAGGAGGAAGAAGACAGGCGGAGGAGCCCAAGACCUGUCACCUUCACGCUGGGCAACGAGAUGCUGGGGCUGGGCCCGGAGAGUGAGUUUCAGACCCCCGAUGCCGAGAUCUACAUGCACUUCCUGAGGAGCCACUGCUGCUAUGACGCGGUCCCCACCAGCUGCAAGCUCGUCGUCUUCGACAUAUCCCUGGAGAUCAAGAAAGCUUUCUUGGCGCUGGUGGCCAACGGGGUGCGUGCCGCCCCGCUCUGGGACAGCAAGACGCAGAGCUUUGUGGGGAUGCUCACCAUCACAGAUUUCAUCAAUAUCCUCCACCGCUACUACCGCUCGCCGCUGGUUCAGAUCUACGAGGUGGAAGAGCACAAGAUUGAGACCUGGAGAGAGGUGUACCUGCAAGGAUCCUUGAAGCCACUGGUCUACAUCUCCCCAAGCAAUAGCCUCUUCGACGCUGUCUACUCCCUGAUCAAGCACAAGAUCCACCGCCUGCCUGUCAUCGAGCCUGUCUCCGGCAACGUCCUGCACAUCCUGACGCACAAGCGCAUCCUCAAGUUCCUCCACAUCUUUGGCUCCACCAUCCCCAAGCCGCGCUUCCUGAAGAAAACGGUGCAGGAGCUGUGUGUUGGCACCUUCCGUGAUGUGGCUGUCGUGCCUGAGACCGCCCCCAUCUAUGCCGCCCUGGAGAUCUUUGUGGACCGCCGCGUCUCCGCCCUGCCUGUCAUCAACGAUGCUGGGCAAGUGGUCGGCCUCUACUCCCGGUUCGACGUCAUUCACCUGGCAGCCCAGAAGACCUACAACAACCUGGACAUCAGCGUGCGGGAGGCACUGCGGCAGCGCACCACCUGCCUGGAAGGUGUCAUCACCUGCUACCCCCACGAAACCAUGGAGGACAUCAUCGACCGCAUCGCCAAGGAGCAGGUAUCGAUGCUCUUAACUCUUAGCCCGCGACGCUCCGUCUUUCUCCACUUGCACCCUCCAUUUCUCUCCACUUCAGGUAGGCGCCGUCCCCCGCUGUUGUGUGCCUGUCCCCUCCCCACCGCUGGGUCACCCGCACCUCGUCACCUCCCUGCUCAGGCCACCGGCCCCCACCCCAGGCCAACCAGCCCCAGGGGACGGAGGAGGCUGGGGCUGGGGUCCAGCAGCGGUGGGUGGCCAGGUGGGGAUGGCAGGACCCGGAUGCUGCUUGCCUCCAGGGACACAAAGAUCACGGGGAUCCCUUCUGGGGUCCUGAUCCCUGGUGUCCGUGAGGAAGAAUGCGGGCACCUGCCACGGAGCCACACCCAGACCCCCAUCCAUGCAGCGUGUGGGAUGCAGGUUUUGCAGCUCCCUGAGGUUUGGGCUGGAUCAGGGUUUUGGGGUGUGAUGCACCUCAAGACAAAAGCCCUUUUUAGACCUUGCCUCAACCCCCCUCGAGACCUGAGCCCCUCCAGUGCCGUUCCCAGGGGACACAGAGGGGACGAACCCCCACUGGCACACCCCGGACACGCUGCCCACCACUAGCCAUGUGCACAGUGUGGCCGACCCAUGGGCCAUGGCUGGCAGAGCCCACUGCCCCCUCUGCCCACAGUGGCCCCAAAACCGCUUGCUCCAGGGACAGGGCUCACUCCCAGGCCGUGCUGGGAUUGCGCUGCCCGGCCACCUGUGCCUGGCUCUGCUCGCCCGCUGCCUGGUGAGUCCUCACUGGUGAUGAGGGGGCACAGUGCUGCCACCCACUGUGGCACACAUUUAGGGGUGAACUGGGCACCGGAGGGAGCUGGCCCUGGUGUCCAGCUGCUUCCCAAAGCUAAUGAUGCUUUUUUGGGGGGGUGGUGGGGAACGACCUUGGGUCACCCCAUACCUACCCCUGUGCCCACCCAUUCCCCCAGCAAUGCCCAGUUGCUCCAUGCAGAAGGGGACUGGGGGGUAGUGUGUCUUAACACACCAGACAUGGGACACCCCCCUUUCCCCAUCACAGUGCCUUCAUUCACCCCAUCCCUGGUGCUCAUGGGGGGGGGUGGCUGUGCUGGGAGCUGCUGGGUGGCCACCGGGAUGUCCCUUUCCAGGCCAGCACCCCCCUCCUACUCCAGGGCUUCCAUCCAAGCCAGGAAUGGAAGCAAGACCCCGUUGUUCCCUGCGCUGUCCCCAUGGUGCCUGGGGCAUUGACCGAUCCUCACUCUGAGGACACCAGGGAAG